rnacentral:lncRNA from 1 species
CCUCCUGUGAUAACACAGCCUAUCUGGCUCCCUCCGCUCGCCGAGGUCUGAUCUUGCCUUACCUGGUUUGAGCUUCUUAAAGGUGUGGAGUUGGCCGUGUCUUGGGCAAGGCUUGUGGGAGAAAUCGAAUGCUCAGAAGCUGUGGGGGUGCAAGUGAUGAGUCUGUACGGCUAUGCUGUUCUGUCUUCCCGUCAUGACCUCACCUUAUCCCGUAUUCCCAGCAUGCUUCUGGGCUGUCUUCUGGUUAUCCGGGGUGUGAGGUGGCCAUGAGGCUCCACGCCUCCAUCGUAACGUAACGUGAUAAGCCUUUGGUCCGUGGUUCAAUGUCAGCGAGCUGGAGAGACGAAAAGAUUGGCAGAGGAGUGGGGGAUAGGAGGUGGGACAAGGUGAGAGUUCGGCAGUGUUGCUGGGAUGCCAGUAAGAACAGUCACACAGAAACCCCAAUGUUGUUUGUACGGCUUCAGCCUACCGCCACAGCAGGAGAGACAGAGGUUUGGGCUGGACAAUAUGUCAGGAGGUCUCAGAACAUGUUCGAAUACCACCACCCAUCCCUGAGGUUGGGUGGGGCCAUGUGACUGGUUCCAAGCAAUGGGCCACUGGUAUUUCUCGGCUAAAGCAUGGAAGGAUUGGCAGGGAUCACUCUGAGGUCUCUUGCUGCCCUUAGUUCCUGAAAAUGAUACACUGCACAGACAUAAGAUA